rnacentral:misc_RNA from 1 species
CUUGUGCUGGUUGAUUAGCAUAAAAUUCAGAAGGCGAGGCCGGUAGCUCCGGAUUAAAGGAUGGCUCAAUAGAUGAUUUAUCCAACUGGUGAAAUCAAGUUGAACCAAAGAAAUCAAUAGUGUUUACUAUAUUCAUGUACAUAUAAACCAAUAUUUCAUAGCAUCGUUUUUGAAUUCCAGUGAAUCAAGUAUUUAAUAGUAGAUAUUUUAUUCUCCAGGAAAAUUUGUUGUCGUUCCUUGAACAUCACAUGCUCGUUGCUCACACUCUAGCUUGCCCCACCUGGCAUCAACUCGUUCACAGGGAAAUACUAAUUUGCCAAGGCUUCUGUUGACUACAUUGUGAAUAUGGCAUAACCAUUGUGAGAACUCGGCCUGAGAUCCAGCUUGUACAGGAUUUGCCCUGUGAAACACAUAAGAGCAGCCAUUAACACUGGAAACUUUGCCAUUACUCUUUACAGUGUGAUGCAGAAACUUUGCUUGGAGGCUUGGUGUGUUUAACUUAGCAUUUGGGUUGCAGUGAAGAUUGGAUUGCAUUCCAUUUACUCAAAACUUCUUUAAAGUGAUCUGCACAUUCCUUGCAAGGGUACAUCCGGGAUAAUAUUGCCAUCUACAAAUUGAAGCAGUUUGGUUAGUUGAUCUUAACGGUUGCAUAUUACUGAAUUGAGAAAUCUAGUUUCAGUUCUUAUCACAAAGUUGACAUAUUGGCAAUUAAGUGUGAAUGACAGAUGAAUUAAGCACAACGCUUUUUUGCUAGUGUGUUGUGAGGACAUGAUUAUUAUGCAGAAAAUGGAAGACAAUGAAUUCUUUAUUACGUUUGUUCUCACCAAAUUUAGAAACUAGUUAAUUGCCAGCCCCAUUUGUUUCAGAUCUAACUGGUGAAUAAAUCAACUGCUCAAUUUUAGACUGAAUACAGAGACAAAACAAGAAAGUAAAAAUUACAUUAGCAUGCAUAAUUUUAUGUAUGGAAUAAACCAAAAUGACAAUGGCUAGACUUUUCAUCACCACAACACUACCAAAUACCAAUUGCAUGCUAACUUUCCCCUGGUGCUGGUUUGGGACACUGCACCCACAUGAAAUGUAGAAGAUAAUGUUGAGGAAAAAAGUUCAUUAAGUCUAAAUUGGACUGGCUAUGUUGAUGAAAACAAGCCCCAAGUUCAACCAGUAAACAAUAGGAACGUGACUGUGAGGCAGGCCCACUCUUUGCUCUACACAAGUUAUACCAAAAAUUUUGAACUUUGGUCUUCCAAGGAAGCUUUCAAGGACCUUAUCAAUGUUGUGAGCUACUCUCAGUUGACUUAUUAAUAACAAUAAUCAUGUCAAGGCUUCCUCCAAGCAACGAUGGAGAGGCUAAUUUAGAUUGAAA